GACGAACGCUGGCGGCGUGCUUAACACAUGCAAGUCGAGCGGUAAGGCCCUUUCGGGGGUACACGAGCGGCGAACGGGUGAGUAACACGUGGGUGACCUGCCCUCAGCUCUGGGAUAAGCCUGGGAAACUGGGUCUAAAUACCGGAUAUGACUCCAUGACGCAUGUUGUGGGGUGGAAAAGCCUUGUGCGGCUGAGGAUGGGCCCGCGGCCUAUCAGCUUGUUGGUGGGGUGANGGCCU
rnacentral:rRNA from 1 species